CUCAGACACCGAUAGUGAACCAGUACCGUAAGGGAAAGGUGAAAAGCACCCUAAAUAAGGGAGUGAAAUAGUACCUGAAACCGUACGCCUACAAGCGGUCGGAGCCUGCAUAGCAAUAUGUUGGGUGACGGCGUGCCUUUUGCAUAAUGAGCCUACGAGUUACUCCUCACUGGCGAGGUUAAGUUCUUAAGUAACGGAGCCGUAGCGAAAGCGAGUCCAAAUAGGGCGCUUAGUCAGUGGGGGUAGACGCGAAACUUUGUGAUCUAUCCAUGAGCAGGUUGAAGGUGUGGUAACACACACUGGAGGACCGAACCCAUAAACGUUGAAAAGUUUUGGGAUGACUUGUGGAUAGGGGUGAAAGGCCAAUCAAACUGAGAGAUAGCUCGUUCUCCCCGAAAUGUUUUUAGGAACAGCCUCGGAUAUAGACGUUUACUAGAGGUAGAGCUACUGAUUGGGCUAGGGGGCUUCACCGCCUACCAAACCCUGACAAACUCCGAAUGCUAGUAAAUAUCUCCGGGAGUGAGGCUGCGGGUGCUAAGAUCCGUGGCCGAGAGGGAAAUAACCCAGAUUAGCAACUAAGGUCCCUAAGCGUAUGUUAAGUUGAUCAAACGAGGUGGGAUUUCUAUAACAGCCAGGAUGUUGGCUUGGAAGCAGCCAUUCAUUUAAAGAGUGCGUAACAGCUCACUGGUCGAGAGACUCUGCACGGAAAAUAAUCGGGCAUCAAACUACGAACCGAAGUUCUAAACAUGCCGCUCGGCGGCAUUGUGGUAGGGGAGCAUUGAAAUCUGCUGCGAAGGUGUCUGGCGAUGGAUGCUGGAGCGAUUUCAAAAGAAAAUGUAGGCAUAAGUAACGAUAAAACAAGUGAAAAACUUGUUCGCCGUAAACCCAAGGUUUCCUGAUCAAUGUUAAUCAGAUCAGGGUUAGUCGGGUCCUUAGGCAAACCCGAAAGGGGUAGCUGAUGGAAAGUUGGUUAAUAUUCCAACACCUGCUUAUACUUCGAUGGGGUGACGGGGUAGUGAAAGGUCCGCGUUCUUACGGAAUAGAACGUUAAAGGGUGUAGAUAUAGGCUGCGUAGGCAAAUCCGCGCGGCUUGUCGAACCUGAUAGUACGGCGAAGCUUCGGCCAAGCUGAUAGUGACCCUAAUCAAACCUCCGAGAAAAACCUCUAAGUUAUGGUAUAAGGAGCCCGUACCGUAAACCGACACAGGUGGGUGGGAUGAAUAUUCUAAGGCGCUCGGGUGAGCCGUGGAGAAGGAACUAGGCAAAUUGACGCUGUAACUUCGGGAUAAAGCGUACCUACUUCGGUAGGUCUCAGUAAAAUGGUUCAACCAACUGUUUAACAAAAACACAGGGCCCUGCAAAAUCGAAAGAUGACGUAUAGAGCCUGAUACCUGCCCGGUGCUGGAAGGUUAAGGAAGGGUGUUCGCCGCAAGCCAAAGCUCCUGACUGAAGCCCCAGUAAACGGCGGCCGUAACUAUAACGGUCCUAAGGUAGCGAAAUUCCUUGUCGGGUAAGUUCCGACCUGCACGAAUGGUCUAAUGAGUUGAACACUGUCUCCUCCACGAGCCCGGUGAAAUUGUAGUAUCGGUGAAGAUGCCGGUUACCCG
rnacentral:rRNA from 1 species